GACGAACGCUGGCGGCGUGCUUAACACGUGCAAGUCGAACGGUGACGCGCCUUCCUCUUUGGUGGGUGUGGAGGGGUGGCGGACGGGGGGGUAACACGUGAGUAAUCUACCCUCUUCUGCUGGAUAACCGCAUGAAAGUGUGGCUAAUACCGGAUACUCCGUGUCUGUCGAAUGAUGGGUCUGUGAGAGAUUUUGUGUCGGUAGGGGCUGGUCUCGCGUCGUCUCAUCUUGUGGGUGGGGUCAUGGCCCGCCAAGGAGACGUUGAGUAGCUGGUAUGAGGGGAUGAUCAGCGACAAUAGAGCUGAGACAAGGUCCAGACGCCUACGGGAGGCAGCAGUGGGGAAUAUUGGAGAAUGGGGGCAAGCAUGAUCCAGCCAUACCGCGUGGGUGAAGAAGGACUUCGGGUUGUAGAGACCUUCUGUUGGGAAAGAAAAGCAGCAGGUUAAUACGUCGCUGUUCUGACGGUACCCAAAGAAUAAGCACCGGCUAACUUCGUG
rnacentral:rRNA from 1 species